CACGUAGUUAGCCGGCGCUUUCUCUGCACCUGCCGUCACUUUCGCUUCUUCGAUGCUAACAGAGGUUUACAACCCGAAGGCCGUCAUCCCUCACGCGGCGUCGCUGCAUCAGGCUUGCGCCCAUUGUGCAAUAUUCCCCACUGCUGCCUCCCGUAGGAGUCUGGGCCGUGUCUCAGUCCCAGUGUGGCCGGUCACCCUCUCAGGCCGGCUACCCGUCGUCGCCUUGGUAAGCCAUUACCUCACCAACAAGCUGAUAGGCCGUGAGCCCAUCUAAAACCACUCCAUAACGCUUUCCACCAACACCCCAUGCGGAGAUUGGUCGUAUCCGGUAUUAGACCCAGUUUCCCAGGCUUAUCCCAGAGUACAAAGGUAGGUCACUCACGUAUUACUCACCCGUUCGCCACUAAUCCACUAGCAAGCUAGGCUUCAUCGUUCGACUUGCAUGUGUUAAGCACGCCGCCAGUCCGUUCUCC
rnacentral:rRNA from 1 species